rnacentral:rRNA from 1 species
AGGGUUUGAUCAUGGCUCAGAACGUACGCUGGCGGCACGCCUAAUACAUGCAAGUCGAACGAAGUAGCAAUACUUAGUGGCGAACGGGUGAGUAUAAUGUGGGUAUCUGCCUUUUGGUGAGGAAUAACACGGGGAAACUUGUGCUAAUACCUCAUAAGCCUUCACAGGGAAAGUUUUAACGCCAAAAGAUGAGCCCGCACUUGAUUAGCUAGUUGGUAAGGUAAAAGCUUACCAAGGCUACGAUCAAUAGCUGAUCUGAGAGGAUGAUCAGCCACAUUGGGACUGAGACACGGCCCAAACUCCUACGGGAGGCAGCAGUAGGGAAUCUUGCACAAUGGGGGAAACCCUGAUGCAGCGAUGCCGCGUGAGUGAAGAAGGCCUUUGGGUUGUAAAGCUCUUUCGUCGGGGAAGAAAAUGACUGUACCCGAAUAAGAAGGUCCGGCUAACUUCGUGCCAGCAGCCGCGGUAAUACGAAGGGACCUAGCGUAGUUCGGAAUUACUGGGCUUAAAGAGCUCGUAGGUGGUUAGAAAAGUUGGUGGUGAAAUCCCAAGGCUUAACCUUGGAACUGCCAUCAAAACUUUUUGACUAGAGUAUGAUAGAGGAAAGUGGAAUUUCUAGUGUAGAGGUGAAAUUCGUAGAUAUUAGAAAGAACACCAAUUGCGAAGGCAGCUUUCUGGAUC